rnacentral:rRNA from 1 species
UCCAGGUUGAUCCCGCCGCGACUGACUGCUAUCGGAUUGGUACUAAGCCAUGCGAGUCAUUGUACAAUACAAGGCGGACGGCUCAGUAACACGUAGUCAACCUAACUCGUGGACGUGGAUAACCUCGGGAAACUGAGAAUAAACCACGAUAGAUCAUAGUGCCUGGAAUGGCUUAUGGUCCAAACAGUUUACUGCCAUGGGAUGGGACUGCGGCCUAUCAGCUUGUUGGUGAGGUAAUGGCCCACCAAGGCGAUUACAGGUACGGGCUCUGAGAGGAGAAGCCCGGAGAUGGGUACUGAGACACGGACCCAGGCCCUAUGGGGCGCAGCAGGCGAGAAACCUUAGCAAUGUGCGAAAGCACGACUGGGUCAGUCCGAGUGAUUCCUGAUAAAGGAGUCUUUUGCUUGUCCUAAAAGCACAGGUGAAUAAGGGGUGGGCAAGUCUGGUGUCAGCCGCCGCGGUAAUACCAGCACCUCGAGUGGUCAGGACGUUUAUUGGGCCUAAAGCAUCCGUAGCCGGCUCUGCAAGUCUUCGGUUAAAUCCACCUGCUCAACAGAUGGGCUGCUGGAGAUACUACAGAGCUAGGGAGUGGGAGAGGCAGACGGUAUUCAGUGGGUAGGCGUAAAAUCUCUGAUCCUU